UACGUAUGGAGCAAGCGUUAUCCGGAUUUACUGGGCGUAAAGGGAGCGUAGGCGGCCUGCCAAGUCUGAUGUGAAAUACCGGGGCUCAACCCCGGGGCUGCAUUGGAAACUGGCAGGCUGGAGUGCCGGAGAGGCAGGCGGAAUUCCUAGUGUAGCGGUGAAAUGCGUAGAUAUCACACAGAACACCGAUUGCGAAGGCAUCUCACGAAUCCGCGAUUGACGCUGAUGCACGAAAGCGUGGGUAUCAAACAGG
rnacentral:rRNA from 1 species